rnacentral:lncRNA from 1 species
AUGAAAGGGCUGGAACGGGCGCCCGGGCUUGGUGGUCCCACAGGAUUUUGCACCCUUCUUCAAGGUGCGUGCGUGCUAAGUCGCUUCAGUCCUGUCCGACUCUUUGCGACCCUACGGACUGUAGCCCUCCAGGCUCCUCUGUCCAUGAGAAUCUCUCCAGGUAAGAAUACUGGAGUGGGUGGCCAUUCCCUUCUCCAGUGGAUCUUCCCCGACCCAAGAUUGCGAUGUAGGCAGCGGCCAGGAGGGGGCAGCAUGUCACUGGCUUCGCAAGGUUCUGGGUUGCGAAACAUCCAGCCAGGGGAGCGGCUCUGGACUUCCCAAUUUUUGGUGUGCUGUGCACGCUCCCUCCAACCUCUCUCCAUCAACUGCUUGAGACCCUCCGCCUCUGCGAGCACCUCAGAGAGGGUGCGGGAGUUGGCGAGGGGCGGGGGGCGCUCCCGUGGUAUGGGCUCCUCUCCCCAUAGUGGCCAGAAAAUCCCCACCUGGCACUCGGGGCUGACUUGGCUUCUGAGUGUACCCCACCCCCCCGUUCCCCCUCCAAGAUCCCUGGGGGAAGGGGCAGUUGCAGGGCCAUCAGGCGAGCCGAGGAGGAAGAAGUGUGAGAACAGCGCCCUAGACGGCAGCAGGGACACGGGAGCCGGCACUUCCCGUUCCAGGCCCCGCCAGUGCGCGUCUGCCUCUGGGCGCGAACUGGCGGAGAUUGUCCCAUCUUGGGGGCAGAGAAGUAGGCCAGCAGCGCCCGGAUCCCUUCCAAGCCUGAACCCGCCCCAGCGGAGGGCUGGAAAGCCUGGGGAGCCUGGAAGCGGGGACAACUGCACAGAGAGGCCGAGAUUCACACAUCAUCUCCGCGAGACCGGGGUCUCCAAGGGACCAGUUUGCAGGCGAACCAACUGGGAGGGGGGUGGGGGUGGGGCUGUUGUACCCGCAGAGGGGGCGCCAAGAGUGGGCUUAGUAGUAGCGCGUGCUCAGACUCUUUGCAACCCCAUGGACCGUAUAGCCCGCCAGCCUCCUCAGUCCAUGAGAUUUCCCAGGCAAGAUUACUGGAGAGGGUCGCCAUUUCCAUCUCCAGAUCUUCCAGACCCAGGGAUCGAACCCGUGUCUCCUGCAUCUCCUGCACUGGCAGGUGGGUUCUUUACCACUGAGCCACCUGGGAAGCCCAAGGGAGGGCUUCGGUUCAGUUCAGCCGCUCAGUCGUGUCCGACACUUUGCGACCCCGUGGACUUCAGCACGCCAGGCUUCCCUGUCCAUCACCAACUCCCGGAGCCUAUUCAAACUCAUGUCCAUCGCUUUGGUGAGGGCUUGGGCUCCUCCAAACUCCCUCAAUCAACUCCACCGCAUUAUCACCUGGCUCCUCCGUAA